CAAUAAGAAAUGUAAUCAAAGACAGGCUUGGACUCGAACAUGAGUUUUAUGUGGUGUACUUUCAAAAUUCGCUCAGAAUAAUUAGUACUGCAUUUGAAAGAAAGAUAGGUAGGGUGAUAAUUAUUAUCAUAACCUCCAAACGGAUAGCCGUUUAUUCCCGUCUUUUCUACGCGUAAUUCACCUUUUUUGAGGAUUUGAUGGCAGAACAUGGAUUGAAGUUAAAGGACAUUAUGAUAGAGAUAGUAAAAUGUGCUCGAGUUGAAAGCCAGAAAAGAAAGAAGUUUGAGGUAUAAGGAAUGUAUCAAUGCGUAAAUCGCAAGAAACGAAUAAAAACUUUGUAAACUUAA